rnacentral:tRNA from 1 species
UCCCUGGUGGUCCAGCGGCUAAGACUCUGUGCUCCCAAUGCAGGAGGUCAGGGUUCAAUCCCAUGUCAGGGAA